rnacentral:misc_RNA from 1 species
UCAUUAUUGAACUCUCAGGUAGAGGGGAGGGGGAGAAGGGGCUAAACUUUGACUGUCGCUGGCCUUGGCAUGUUGCACGUCUAAGACUCCCUUUCGUUCAUUCUCUCUCCUUUACCACAACCAACACACCUGUGCACCUACUGUAGGCCCUCGAAAGAGGAACCUAUGCUUUUUCGCAUCUACUCUAUGUCUAUAGAAUGUAUAUGUAUUUGUAUUGAAGAUCGUCGCGGUCCAAUAUAAAUGUAAAUGUCAUACAACUUUCAGCAACGGAUCUCUUGGCUCUCGCAUCGAUGAAGAACGCAGCGAAUUGCGAUAAGUAAUGUGAAUUGCAGAUUUUCAGUGAAUCAUCGAAUCUUUGAACGCACCUUGCGCUCCUUGGUAUUCCGAGGAGCAUGUCUGUUUGAGUGUCAUUGAAUUCCUCAAACCAAUGUUUUGAUUCAUCUUCAAAGCAUUGGCUUUGGAACAAUUGGGGGUUUGCUGGCCGCAACAAUAGCAGUCGGCUCUCCUGAAAUGCAUUAGCAGGAAAAGGGAGUUUGCACCAUGCAAGUCUUUCUUUGACGUGCACGGCCUUGGACGUGAUAAUGAUCGUCAUCGCUGGAGCGUCAGACUUGAUCAAUGGCAGUGUCUCUCUUCAUGCUUCCAAUUUCUCUGAUCCUUGAGGGCCUUUAAUCCCCUACCUAACCUUGUCAAGGUCGCUUUCAAGUGGCUUUGUUUGUUAGUUUUGAUUUUGGGGGCCUUUUUGAAUCUUUGCUUGAAAGCUUGACCUCAAAUCAGAUAGGACUACCCGCUGAACUUAAGCAUAUCAAUAAGCGGAGGAAAAGAAACUAACAAGGAUUCCCCUAGUAACUGCGAGUGAAGCGGGAAGAGCUCAAAUUUUGAAUCUGGCGGUGUUUGGCCGUCCGAGUUGUAAUCUAGAGAAGCGUGUUCUGUGUUGGACCGUGUACAAGUCUCCUGGAAGGGAGCGUCAUAGAGGGUGAGAGUCCCGUCUUUGACACGGACUACCAAUGCUAUGUGAUGCGCUCUCGACGAGUCGAGUUGUUUGGGAAUGCAGCUCAAAACGGGUGGUAAAUUCCAUCUAAAGCUAAAUACAGGCGAGAGACCGAUAGCGAACAAGUACCGUGAGGGAAAGAUGAAAAGAACUUUGGAAAGAGAGUUAAACAGUACGUGAAAUUGCUGAAAGGGAAACGCUUGAUGUCAGUCGCGUGGGCCGGGGAUCAACCUUUGCACUUUUUCGCUGGGUGUACUUCCCGGUCGACGGGUCAGCAUCAGUUUCGGUCGCCAUACAAGGGCGAGGGGAAUGUGGCACCCUUCUGGGGUGUGUUAUAGCCUUUCGUCGCAUGUGGUGCUCGAGACUGAGGAACUCAGCACGGCUUUUCAGCAGUGUGCUUUUAGGAUGCUGGCAUAAUGGCCUUAAGCGACCCGUCUUGAAACACGGACCAAGGAGUCUAACAUGCCUGCGAGUGUUUGGGUGCCAAACCCGAGCGCGUAAUGAAAGUGAACGUUGAGACCUCUGUCGUGGAGGGCACCGACGCCCGGACCUGAGUCUUUGACGACGGAUCUGCGGUAGAGCAUGCAUGUUGGGACCCGAAAGAUGGUGAACUAUGCCUGAAUAGGGUGAAGCCAGAGGAAACUCUGGUGGAGGCUCGUAGCGAUUCUGACGUGCAAAUCGAUCGUCGAAUUUGGGUAUAGGG